rnacentral:scRNA from 1 species
CACGUGCACUCGGUUGAGGAUGUCGCCAUAAG